CCAUGAUUAAAAGUAUGAAAAUGAUAUAUUUGUUGAUUUAAAUUAGUUAAAAAAGAGCUAGCUGUUAAGUGUUAACAAUAUUCUGCAGUAUCAAUCUAGAAAUACUGCAGCCCAUUGGAGGAAACAACGCAAAGGUAGAGAAGGAAUACCAAUUCUACAAGUUCCUCUUAACUCCACAACAGGUUCAAGAAGCCGUGAAAAGCUACUCCAAUCUUCCAACCGAAGUUUACCAAUGGGCUCUGCAUAGUUACGCAACGCGUUAAGAAAUUAUUUUGGUUUGUAAAAUUCUUUUCCUACGUAGCAGCAUUUAGUGCAUCUUCCACAAUAUUUUUUAAGACUGACUUGUUAAGAAAGAAGAAUCCACGCCGGGACAUUUUUCUCAGGAAAUGCAAGAGUCAACGACUAUUGUAUUUUUAUAAGGAAAAUGAUACUUUAUGGAGUUCCGUGAAUUAAUUUACACGCGAAUUUACAGAUUUUGCUCUGAGUGAAAUUUGGCGUGUAGAGAGGAAAUGAUUUUUUUUUGUGAUUGUCCUCUUCAUAAUCAUUUAUAAGUUGUGUAAGACAUUUAGGAAAGAUUUGCCAUGAAAACUCUGCUCUCUAUUCUUUUUAUAGGAACCUUUUUUAGCAGUUUUUUAUUAAUUUCAUUGUAGGAAUUUGUUAUUUGAUCUUUUGAUUAGUAUCUAGUCAUAGUUAAAUAAUUUGAUGAAUCAGUAAGUUAUUGUUGUAUUAUCUCGGUUGAAAAUGAAUGUUGGGACACUUUGUUCAAGUAGAAUGUGUAAAAAUGAAAGUGUACGUGACUGUGUGUGUGUUUCUGUGCAUAGUGUAGUUUUUUUUUUUUUUUUUUUUUUUUUGAAAUUGCACAGAAUAUU